CCGCAGCGGGUUCCCGCAGCGCUGACCAGAGCAGUGCUGAGGUGGUUUGAGGCCUCGGCCUGCUUCGUCCAGAGCAAGGUCAUGGAAGUUUCAGACAAUU
rnacentral:snoRNA from 1 species